rnacentral:tRNA from 21 species
GCGGGCGUGGCGGAAUUGGCAGACGCGUAUGGUUCAGGUCCAUAUGGGGGCAACCCCGUGAAGGUUCAAGUCCUUUCGCCCGCACCA